UACGUAGGAGGCAAGCGUUGUCCGGAAUUACUGGGCGUAAAGCGCGUGUAGGCGGCCAGGUAGGUCUGCUGUGAAAACUCGAGGCUUAACCUCGAGCUGUCGGCGGAAACCAUCUGGCUAGAGUCCGGAAGAGGAGAAUGGAAUUCCCGGUGUAGCGGUGAAAUGCGCAGAUAUCGGGAAGAACACCCGUGGCGAAGGCGGUUCUCUGGGACGGUACUGACGCUGAGACGCGAAAGCGUGGGGAGCGAACAGG
rnacentral:rRNA from 1 species